rnacentral:misc_RNA from 1 species
UUCUUCACACAAAAAACUGCAGGGGGCGCUGCUGCUGUCUCUGUUUGUGCUUUGCUGCAUAUUCUUCUCUGUUUGCCUGCAUUGUGUGUCUGUUUUACUAAGUCUCUGAACACGUUUUCCAUCCAGUAAUGAAACAUUUUUUCUACGGUAAAACUUUCACUUCAGCUUUAGCUUCAGCAUAGAAAGCUGUUUACAGUAACACAUCACUGAUCUUAGAUCGGAAUAGUAUGCAGCUGGCUGUUAAAAUCAUCAUAUUUAUUUAAGUAACAAAACAAACUGAAGACAUCCUCAAGAUAUAAGUCUGCGAAAUGCUCCUGAAGCAGUAAUAAAAGGGGUGUUUGUCGUCCUCGCUGUG